rnacentral:rRNA from 1 species
CACGACAGAUCCCCCCCUCCGAGUACGUGUGCUAGCAUGAACUUUAGAUCGAAGGAAUUGAUGGGGACCCGCACAAGCGGUGGAUGAUGUGGACUAAUUUGCUGCAACGCGAAAAACCUUACCUACCCUUGACAUGUCUGGAAUUCCGAAGAGAUUUGGAAGUGCUCGCAAGAGAACUGGAACACAGGUGCUGCAUGGCUGUCGUCAGCUCGUGUCGUGAGAUGUUGGGUUAAGUCCCGCAACGAGCGCAACCCUUGUCAUUAGUUGCUACGAAAGGGCACUCUAAUGAGACUGCCGGUGACAAACCGGAGGAAGGUGGGGAUGACGUCAAGUCCUCAUGGCCCUUAUGGGUAGGGCUUCACACGUCAUACAAUGGUCGGGACAGAGGGUCGCCAACCCGCGAGGGGGAGCCAAUCCCAGAAACCCGAUCGUAGUCCGGAUCGCAGUCUGCAACUCGACUGCGUGAAGUCGGAAUCGCUAGUAAUCGCGGAUCAGCAUGUCGCGGUGAAUACGUUCCCGGGUCUUGUACACACCGCCCGUCACACCAUGGGAGUGGGUUUUACCAGAAGUAGUUAGCUAACCGUAAGGGGGGCGAUACCACGUAGAUCGCG